rnacentral:rRNA from 1 species
AGCGAACGCUGGCGGCAGGCCUAACACAUGCAAGUCGAACGGCUCUUCGGAGCAGUGGCGGACGGGUGAGUAACGCGUGGGAACGUGCCCUUUGGUUCGGAACAACACAGGGAAACUUGUGCUAAUACCGGAUGUGCCCUUCGGGGGAAAGAUUUAUCGCCAUUGGAGCGGCCCGCGUUGGAUUAGGUAAUUGGUGGGGUAAAGGCCCACCAAGCCGACGAUCCAUAGCUGGUGUGAGAGGAUGAUCAGCCCCACUGGGACUGAGACACGGCCCAAACUCCUACGGGAGGCAGCAAUGGGGAAUCUUGCGCAAUGGGCGAAAGCCUGACGCAGCCAUGCCGCGUGAAUGAUGAAGGUCUUAGGAUUGUAAAAUUCUUUCACCGGGGAAGAUAAUGACGGUACCCGGAGAAGAAGCCCCGGCUAACUUCGUGCCAGCAGCCGCCGUAACAC